AUUUUAUCAUGUUACCUAGAAUGUUCCUCCAUCUCCUAUUAAGCACCCCUCUCUCAAACUGAAGUUGCAGCUUAAGAAUUACUUGCCUCUUUCCCCACAUUUAUAAUCCCUGCCCCCUGUUGCAGAUGCAGAACAGCAACCCAAGUCCCUUCUGGAAGCAGCCCUCUCCCUCCUGGCAGCUGACAGAAGUCUCUCUGGCCAGGCCGGCCUUUUGGCUGCUCUGCAUAUGGAAGUUCAAUUACUGUCAAUGGGAGGCCCAUCGGCAGGGGAGAAGCUUACUGCUGUUUUCAUGGCUCUGCAUGCCCGGGGAAAGAGGAAGGCCACAGGAAGGUGACAGCUGAGGCAGGGUAUAACAGCAGGUCCCCAGGUCUGGCUCCUGGAGGAUGGGACACACAACGUGGGAACCGGCAAGUCACCAGAGUCAUCUCAGCCAAGAUCAACCAAUAGUCAAUUACCAGGAACGUGAGAGAAUUCUGAGACCAGGACUGCUCAGCCACCUCUGCCUAAAAUACCAACACACAGAACAGUAAAGUGAAUGGAUGUUUAUUAUCCUAAGCCACUAUAUUUUGAGAUUGUACCUCAUGCAGCACUAUUAUGACCAUAGGUGACUGAUAUAAAAAGUAAGGAAUUAUGAAUCAUAAGAAAAAGAUGAACCAAGGAAAGAAUCAGCUUUGAAGAGGUGGUAAACUAUGGGAGUUGGGUAUGCUUUUCUGCAAUGAUCUUGUCUUAUUUUCUUUUUUUUUAAAGGAAGGCCUACCUGAAUAAUUCUGUGCAGGAAGAUAAAAGCAAGAUUAGAGUGAGACCUAUUCAGGGAGGUGUCAUUUUGUGAGCAGUUCAUGACCAUACCCAAUAAUCAGGGUCUGUCUACAUAUCUGAAUUUUAAUCCUUACAUAUAUGGCCUUAGAUGAACUAAAAUAAUUAUAAGAAGUUGUGUCAUUGUAGACUUCUAUUAAUAAACAUAUACCUACAUAUAUACAUGUUUAUGCACAAGAAUCAGCCUGUAUAGGCAUAUUUACCUAGGCAUAUUCAUUGCAUAGUGCUCUCAUGGUUGUGACUUGGGUGGGUGUAGCAAAGUGACAGGCCAGGAUCUCACCACAUAGGAAGAACUUUGGUCUGGCCAAGACAGGGCCAGCUAGUGGCCUCCCUGCCAUUAGCUCUGUCUGCCACCCAAGACAGAAGAAGCCAACAGUCCAAAGGGACAUAGCAGCUUCAUUUUGGUUCUAGUUAGUGGUGCCAUAGAAGAGGAACAGGCAGAUAGGAUCUCAUCUAGGCCAUGAGACAAGCAAGAGUUCUCAAGAAGGGUAGACUCUUAGAAACAGGAGGCCAGUGAGACAUGGAUCUAAGAGGCAUAGCCAGGUAGAAGCAGCCCUAGUCAAUGGCUAGAAGUAUAAUAUCCCAAUAAAAGAGGCAUUCUUAGAAAGCUGGGCAGCAUCUCAGGACCAC
rnacentral:lncRNA from 10 species